rnacentral:tRNA from 1 species
GCCAAAAUAGCUUAGUUGUGAGAGUGUUAGACGGAAGAUCUAAACGUCCCUAGUUUGAUCCUGGGUUUUGGCA